CAGGGAUGCGAUGGCGGAGUCGCUGCCCCUGGAGAUGCUCACAUAUAUUCUGAGCUUCCUGCCUCUGUCAGAUCAGAAAGAAGCCUCCCUCGUGAGUUGGGCUUGGUACCGUGCUGCCCAGAAUGCCCUUCGGGAGCAUCAGUUUGGUGAAAAAAAGGAUGUCACCUCUUCCUGAGGAAGCAGAGAGGUUGGGGUGGAAACAUGGAGCUAUUUGCAGAGAAGUUCCUCAGAGGCAUCUCCUUCCUCAGCGGCCCCUUCACUCAGUGGAUUUGGAGACCAGGUUGUCUCAGGAGAGUAAAAAGAGACAUAGAGGCCAGGGCUUCAGCAGAGAGGGUUGGAGCAGUCACAGGACAGGAGGAAGAUGGAAAAUUACCAGAGACACAUAGAGAGGGUGUGGGCAGCCUUACUCAAAUGUUUCUGCUGUGCCGGGCACUGUGCUGGGCACCAGCGAGGCAAAACUGAGGAAGGCACAGGGCUGGGGAGUGUGUAGUGAGUACAGAUGAGUAAAAAGAGGCUGGGGUGCUGCAUUUGAAGUCUGUGUGAGGCACAUCAUGGGUGCAGAGAAAAGAUCAGAAAAGACUCCAUGGAGAAGGAGGUCCUUGGCCUGAGACUCGAGAGAGGAAUAAACAUUUGCCAAAUAGACCAAUAGGAGCCAGUGAGGGGUGGGACGGGACCCCCCCCAGAACAGAAAAAGCAGCUGAGCAGAGGCGUGCGGUACAGGACAAUGGUCAGAAGUGGCAGCCCCAGAGCCAGGACUAGGAGGAAGGGGAACGGGCUUGGGAAGAGCUUGGCUGAAGCAGCAGGCCUGGGUCCUAGAAGGGCUUGAAUGCAGGCUUAGGAAGCUUAGCCUGUGUCCUGGAGGCGUGUGGAACUGGCAGAGGGUCUGGAGAGCACAGGCAGAAUCGCCUUUUGGAAGGGUCACAUGGUGACAAAACCCAGGAUGGAUUGGAGCCAGAGGAACUGGAGGCCAGGACCUGAUAAGGAGGAAGCUGGCGUGGUCUGAGCUUAGAGGAAGCAGCUCUCGGGCUCCUGGCAUACAGUAUGGGGACCUCAACUAGGGCAGAAGCAGUGAGGUUGGAGCAGAGGGACAGAUUGCACCGUAUCAGGGAAACAAAAGUGGACGGGGCUUGGGUCAUUGUGGAUGUGGGGAGUGAGGGAGGAUUCUAGAAUCACUCCCAAAUUUCCCACUUGGGUGACUCAAUAGAGGGUGGGGAGAGUUUAGAAGGAGCAGAGUUGGAGGAUGAGAUGAUGAAUUCAGAUUUGGGUAUGCUGCAUCAUGCCCUCUGGAGAGAGGUCAAUCAGGCACUUGGCUCCCAGGGUCUGGUGUUCAGGAAAAUCAUGUGGAUCGGAAAGACAGUAGUUGGAAUGAUGGCCCCAUGGGGCAAAAUGCAGUUGGCCAGGGUACACUCGGAGGGGCACAAAGAUCGUGUGCAUAUGUGCACGUGCACACGUGUGUGUGUUCUUGGGUGGAACAAACCAUGGGGAACCCACUCAUCUGUGGACUGGAUCUCUGUUCUUUGUUGACCCCAAAAGAGCCUGAAGAAGAGCAGGCUAGAAGGUAGGAGGAAAGCCAGGAGGGCAGAGUUGCAGAACCCCAGUGGAGAUGGCAUCAAGGGGAGUGGCUGCUGGCCAUGCAGAGCAGGUGACAUGGCAGAGAGAACCCUUGUGGGAGGUCUGAGGUGAAGCCCCCACAUGUUGGUGACCUUGCUGGAGGGGAGUUGUUGCCAGGAAUGCGUGAUCCUGUGGGGGCCAGGGUGGAGGGGUGAGCAGGUGAGGCGAGGGGCAACGAGUGGCGGGACAGCAGGCAUGCCUGUGCCUGUGUGCUUCCAAGAAGCGUGGCUGUAGAGGAAGGGGAGAGAAGAGAGGCAAGAGGAAGGGGUGCAGGAUGAAAGGAGGCUUUUAGUUGCAGUUUAAGACUCUGGGGUGUUUGUGGCCUCUGAAGAAGGAGCAGUGGAAAGGCAGAAACAUCAGGGUUCUCAGAGGAGAAGGUGCAGCAGGAGAAGGCCAGGAGAAGAAGUCUUCUGGAAGCAAAAGAGCAGGAGAAGGAGGAAGGUUCAGAUGGGCCCUGCCUGGAGGCAGCUGGUGGACAUGAACAGGGGAAAGGGAGGGACUUCCCACUUGAUGGCCAUCCCUGAGAAUCCUGGGUGAGGGAGGGUGUAUCAGUAGGGCCAGGAGCUGGAGAGGGAGGGGCUUGGAGAGAAGUCUUGGGGCGGGGUGGGAAUCGAGCAAGGAGGCCAUGACUUCCUGGGCGGAGUUCUGUAUCCCUGGUACAGACUCUGAGGAGGCAGCUGGUCUUGCCAGCCCUGGCCGGGCCAGGAGAAUGGGCACAGCAGCACGACUGAGGCAGGGCAACAAGGACCCCGAGGAGAGGUUGUCACAGGGCAAAGCCUCAUGGAGCCCAGCAAAGAUGGGGCAGUCAGAGGAGCCCAAGUGGGGCAGGGCUGGAGGAAGGAGAAGGAAGCCAGAGUGAGUGUUUUAGAGCGGGAGCUGCUCCAGCCAACCAUGCUCUCCAGAUAGAAUGCGGACAGAGACAGAUGACAGAGCCUUGGGAUAACCAAAAACAAGAAAAAGAAAAAAGGAAUGUUGACAAAGAACCUCUGGUGCCUCUGCGAAACUCAGCCCCACCUAGGCUGGGAGCACUGGGAGGCCAGGCCACAGGUACCUGGCAUCACCCCUACCUGGCAUCACCCCUACCAUGUGCCAGAGAGCGCCUGCGGGACCCUGCAGGCAGGAACCAUCUCCCAGGGCUCGGGCAUGGGCAGGUGGAUACUGAGGCAGUAGCAGUUAGGUACCAGUUAGGUGCUGUGGAAGACAUUGGCUUACCGAGGCCCAGCUAGAGCUGGUGACUCACCAAGCUGGGCUAGGACGCUGGUCUUGGGGACUUACUUUCCCUGACCAGUCCCUCCUGUUCCCUUAAUCCCAAUUUUCUCAAAUAAGGAUGCUGGCAAAGGCAGCACCCUCCAUAUGUACCGGCCCUGUCCGUUCCUGGGGGAGCCCUGGUUGUCUCUGCUGGUUGGUCCCCAUGAAGCAAUAGCUGAAGAGAGCUCUUUGUGCCCUCCCUGCCUGAGGGAUUGAUGAAGUCCUGGAGCAGCCUCUGUAUGACCCACUAGUCUAACUCUUCUCUAGAGACCAAUGCCCUGGGUGCCAGGGCUUACAUUUCCCAACGGCCUCCUGGAGAACAAGCAUGGUAGCUUUGGAGUCCUGUAUUAGGCAGGAUGAAGGGCCAUUUUCUCUGUCACAUGGCUUUCCAAG
rnacentral:lncRNA from 1 species